AGAGUUUGAUCAUGGCUCAGAACGAACGCUGGCGGCGUGCUUAACACAUGCAAGUCUAACGGGAACGUGGGUUUCGGCCCGCUAGUACCGUGGCGAACGGGUGAGUAACACGUGGGUAACCUGCCCUUGAGAUCGGGAUAACCUCGCGAAAGUGGGGCUAAUACCGGAUAAGCCCACGCUUCGUACGCGGAGCGCGGGAAAAGGUGGCCUCUUCAUGAAAGCUAUCACUCGAGGAUGGGCCCGCGUCCUAUUAGCUAGUUGGUGAGGUAACGGCUCACCAAGGCGACAAUGGGUAGCCGGCCUGAGAGGGUGGACGGCCACACUGGCACUGAGACACGGGCCAGACUCCUACGGGAGGCAGCAGUGGGGAAUUUUGCGCAAUGGGGGAAACCCUGACGCAGCAACGCCGCGUGAGUGAUGAAGGCCUUCGGGUUGUAAAGCUCUUUUAGUGGGGAAGAAUUCCCCAGGGACGAAUACUCCCUGGGAAUGACGGUACCCACAGAAAAAGUUCCGGCUAACUACGUGCCAGCAGCCGCGGUAAUACGUAGGGAGCGAGCGUUGUUCGGAAUUAUUGGGCGUAAAGAGCGCGUAGGCUGUUCGGCAAGUCCGGUGUGAAAUCCCGCGGCUCAACCGCGGAACUGCAUUGGAAACUGCCGGGCUGGAGUGCGGGAGAGGAGAGUGGAAUUCCCAGUGUAGAGGUGAAAUUCGUAGAUAUUGGGAGGAACACCGGUGGCGAAGGC
rnacentral:rRNA from 1 species